AGAGCUUUGAGCUCAGACGUAAGGGCCGUGCUGAGCACAGCGAACGGCAGAGAGAAUCAGAACAGUGCAAGGAGGGCCUUCUGGCUUCCCCAAACUCCACGGAAGUCUCGAUUCGCAUCCUGGGGCUGCUCCUACUUCCCUUUUCUCAGGGUCUGCGCUCCCUCCCUGGAACAGCUGGGCCCAGGUCUCCCUCCAGGGAGCGUUCGGAUGGAGCACGGCCACCCACCAUCAUGACUAAAGAUCAAAAAGAGCAAAACAGAACAAGACCUCAGGUCUCCGGGCCAUUUCCCCCUUCAGAGGCGGAGAGCAGCACAUCAAAACCAGAAGAUGAGCCAGAAGGGAUCGGCUACCCUCAGGGGUUCCUGAUGACAAACUCUGGUUUCUGGGGAUCUCACCUGUGCCUGGGGGGCCCCGGGCACUGUGCUGAGCAAGAUGCAAAGAGCCCCAAGUCCCACCCACCCAGAGAGUGCAGCUGGGAGGUGGGUGUGCAGAGUGGAAGCCGCGAGCCACCGGAGACAGAAGAGUGCGAAUCGAGAUGGGCUUGCAUGUGAAACACUCAGCAGAGGUCACAGAUUUGGGACCGGAAACAAGCGGAAUGUCUCUCACCGGCGACUCUUCAAUUCUGGAUUUUCAUGCGAAAGUGAUAGCAUCUGGCUUUUAUUUGGGUUAAAUAAAAUAUUUG
ensembl:lncRNA